UACGGAGGGUGCGAGCGUUGUCCGGAAUCAUUGGGCGUAAAGGGCGCGUAGGUGGCCCGGUCAGUUCGUGGUGAAAGCGCGGGGCUCAACCCUGCGUCGGCCAUGAAUACUGCCGCGGCUGGAGCACUGUAGAGGCAGGCGGAAUUCCGGGUGUAGCGGUGGAAUGCGUAGAGAUCCGGAAGAACACCGGUGGCGAAGGCGGCCUGCUGGGCAGUUGCUGGACGCUGAGGCGCGACAGCGUGGGGAGCAAACGAGGAUUAGAGUACCCGUGUGAUGCC
rnacentral:rRNA from 1 species